GAUGAACGCUGGCGGCGUGCCUAAUACAUGCAAGUCGAGCGAACAGACGCUGAUCUUGCUCCUCUCACGUUAGCCGCGGACGGGUGAGUCACACGUGUAUCAUCUACCUAUAUUACUGGUAUCACUUCGGGAAUCCGGCUCUUAUCCCGUAUAAUCUCUUGCACCACAUUGUUCAAUAGUAAAAUACGGUUUUUCUGUCUCUUCUCGCUGCAUCCGGGCUGCAUUAGAUAGUUGGUAAGUUCACGGCUUACCAAGGCUACGAUGCGUAGCCGAAGUGACAGAGGGGUAGGCGACACGGGAACUGAGACGCGGUCCAGACGACUACGAGAGGCAGCAGUAGGGAAUCUUACGCAAUGGGCGAAAGCAUGACGGAGCAAGGCCGCGUGAGAGAUGAAGGUCUUCGGAUCGUAAAAAUCGGUUAUUAGGGAAGAACAAAUGUGGAAGGAACUAUGCACGGAGUGACGGUAACUAAUCAGAAAGCCACGGCUAACUACGUG
rnacentral:rRNA from 1 species